GCAAGUCGAGGGGUAACGAUGGUGCUUGCACCAGGCGACGACCGGCGGACGGGUGAGUAACGCGUAUGCAACCUACCUAUUGCAGGAAGAUAGCCCGAGGAAACUCGGAUUAAUAUUCCAUAAUAUCAUUUUUACACAUGUAUUAAUGAUUAAAGCUACGGCGGCAAUAGAUGGGCAUGCGUACCAUUAGCUAGUUGGUGAGGUAACGGCUCACCAAGGUUACGAUGGUUAGGGGGUCUUAAAGGAUGAUCCCCCACACUGGUACUGAGACACGGACCAGACUCCUACGGGAGGCAGCAGUGAGGAAUAUUGGGCAAUGGACGCAAGUCUGACCCAGCCAUGCCGCGUGCAGGAUGACUGCUCUAGUAGUUGUAAACUGCUUUUCUAUUUCAUGAACCCCUCUGACGUGUCAGGGGCUGACAGUAGAAUAGGAAUAAGCAUCGGCUAACUCCGUGCCAGCAGCCGCGGUAAUACGGAGGAUGCAAGCGUUAUCCGGAUUUACUAGGUUUAAAGGGUGCGUAGGCGGGGUAUCAAGUCAGUGGUGAAAUCCUGCAGCUCAACUGUAGAACUGCCAUUGAAACUGAUAUUCUUGAGUAUAGUUGAGGUAGGCGGAAUGUGUUAAGUAGCGGUGAAAUGCAUAGAGAUAACACAGAACACCGAUUGCGAAGGCAGCUUACUAAACUAUUACUGACGCUGAGGUACGAAAGCGUGGGGAGCGAACA
rnacentral:rRNA from 1 species